CUACUCACUUAGGCAGCACAUAUACUAAAAUUAGAGGGAUACAGAGAAGAUUACCAUGGCCCCUGCACAAGUAUGGCAUGCAAAUUUGUAAAGCAUUGCAUAAUUUU